rnacentral:rRNA from 1 species
CCUACGGGUGGCAGCAGUGGGGAAUAUUGCGCAAUGGGGGCAACCCUGACGCAGCCACGCCGCGUGAUUGAAGAAGGCCUUCGGGUUGUAAAGAUCUUUAAUCGGGGACGAAUUUUGACGGUACCCGAAGCAUAAUCUCCGGCUAACUACGUGCAAGCAGCCGCGGCAAUACGUGGGCAGCAAGCGUUAUCCGGAUUUACUGGGUGUAAGGGCGUGUAGGCGGGAAUGCAAGGCAGAAGUGAAAUCUGGGGGCUUAAACCCCAAACUGCUUUUGGAACUGCGUGUCUUGAGUGAUGGAGAGGCAGGCGGAAUGCCCAGUGUAGCGGUGAAAUGCGUAGAUAUUGGGAGGAACACCAGUGGCGAAGGCGGCCUGCUGGACAUUAACUGACGCUGAGGCGCGAAAGCGUGGGGAGCAAACAGGAUUAGAUACCCCAGUAGUC